UAACUGGCACAACUGGUGGUUUUGGGAUAUAUGGUGGUCUAACUGGGACAACAGGUGGUUUUGGGACAUAAGGAGGGUUCACAAUUGGUGGUUUUGGAACAUAUGGUGGUGUAACUGGCACAACUGGUGGUUUUGGGACAUAGGGAGGGUUCACAACUGGUGGCUUCGGGACAUAGGGUGGUUUAACAACUGGUGGUUUUGGGACAUAAGGUGGAUGUGGAUGCAGUGGAGGCUUAGGGUGAGGUUUUGGGACAUGGGGUGGAUGUGGAUGAACUGGUGGUUUAGGGUAGUGAGGAGGUUUUGGGACAUAGGGUGGGUGUACAUGGGGUGGUUUUGGAGAUGACUUGGGUGGUGGACAUGGUUUUGGUUGUUUGUGAACUGGUGGUUUCACAAUGGGAGGCUUUUUUGGAGGAGGCUUGGGAG
rnacentral:lncRNA from 1 species